rnacentral:rRNA from 1 species
AGGAUCAUUCGCAAUGGGGGAAACCCUGACGAUGCGACGCUGCGUGGAGGAUGACGGCCUUCGGGUUGUAAACUCCUGUCAUGGGGGAAGAGGCGGAGGGACCCAACACGUCCCCGAGUUGACGGUACCCCAAGAGGAAGCGACGGCUAACUCUGUGCCAGCAGCCGCGGUAAUACAGAGGUCGCGAGCGUUGUUCGGAUUUACUGGGCGUAAAGGGCGCGUAGGCGGCGGAUCGUGUCGGAUGUGAAAUCUCCGGGCCCAACCCGGAAAGUGCGUCCGAAACUGGUCCGCUGGAGUGCGGGAGAGGGAAGGGGAAUAUAGGGUGUAGCGGUGAAAUGCGUUGAUAUCCUAUAGAACACCGGAGGCGAAGGCGCCUUCCUGGAACGCAACUGACGCUGAGGCGCGAAAGCCGGGGGAGCAAACA